UUGAGUUCAAGAGCCCUGGGCUGUGGGCCAGCUCCCAGCAAUGCCGUGGAGCUCCUGAAUGCAGGGCUGCUUUGAUCCGUCCCGGGUCCUUGGGGCCUCCUCGCUGUCUGAGGGUGCCCGGCGGGAGGGGUACGGGUGGGUAGGUCAUGGGAGCUAGUACGCGAUGGGAGAAGCCUCACUGGACACCAGCUGUGUGCCUCUGGCAGGCCAUGCAUCCUCUUGGGGCGUUGGGGUGCUGCUCUGGAAGACAAAGGGUUUGGCUAGAUGGGGAGUCCCCAGAAAGUAGUGACCCGAACAGUCCCUCCUCUGGGAAUUUUGUUACAGGUCAGAUUUUGGGUCCUAGCCCUGGAGGCUCUGAUUCCUGGGCAGGGCCCAGGAAUCUGUGUUUUCGAUGACCAGCCAUCCUUGGCUGCGGAAAGACUGGACAAGGUGAACUGUGAGGUCUCCACAGCUUCCUGAGUCCCUUGGAUCUAAAUUCAGCUAAGCAAACUAAGGCAAAUCAGCUGAACAAGGCCUUCAGGUGCCCCAGCCAGAGAACCGUUUCUGCUCAGCUGUCAUCUGCUCCCUUUCAUGCCUCCCUGGGCUGGCACAGGACUGGAUCCUCCUGGGUGUUGUCCUCCAGGAGUGCAGGGCCGUCCAGGGUCUGCCUGCCAGCCCAGCUGGGGACUGGGCAGGGACAGACGCGGCAGGGAGGCAUCCGCAGAGCCCGGCACAGCACGCAGACCUUUGGUACUUGCAGCUUUUUGCAAAUCCUGAAAUAUCACCUUCUAAUUGCUUAAUUUUCUGCAUUCGUUCAUUUAUUUAGACUAGCCUGGGGCUCUCCCGCCUGGCGUAUUAGAGAACUUCUUACUUUUUAAUAAUAAUACUUAGCAUUUAUAUAGUGUGUUUCAUGUUCAAAGUGCUUUACAGAGUUCACUAAUUAAUCAGAACGCUAACUGCCGCCC